GAUGAACGCUGGCGGCGUGCUUAACACAUGCAAGUCGAACGGAAAGGCCAGUGCUUGCACUGGUACUCGAGUGGCGAACGGGUGAGUAACACGUGGGUGAUCUGCCCUGUACUUCGGGAUAAGCUUGGGAAACUGGGUCUAAUACCGGAUAGGACAACUUUUUGGAUAUUGUUGUGGAAAGCUUUUGCGGUAUGGGAUGAGCUCGCGGCCUAUCAGCUUGUUGGUGGGGUAAUGGCCUACCAAGGCGUCGACGGGUAGCCGGCCUGAGAGGGUGUACGGCCACAUUGGGCCUGAGAUACGGCCCAGACUCCUACGGGAGGCAGAAGUGGGGAAUAUUGCACAAUGGGCGCAAGCCUGAUGCAGCGACGCCGCGUGGGGGAUGAAGGCCUUCGGGUUGUAAACUCCUUUCGCUAGGGACGAAGCGUAAGUGACGGUACCUGGAGAAGAAGCACCGGCUAACCACGUG
rnacentral:rRNA from 1 species